rnacentral:miRNA from 1 species
UCUCUCUCUCUCUCUCUCUCUCUCUCUCUCUCUCUCUCUCUGUGUGUGUGUGUGUGAGAGAGAGAGAGAGAGAGAGAGAGAGAGAGAGAGAGAGA